CCUACGGGUGGCAGCAGUGGGGAAUAUUUCACAAUGGGGGGAACCCUGAUGCAGCGACGCCGCGUGGGUGAAUGAGUAUUUCGGUAUGUAAAGCCCUAGCAGCAGGGAAGAACAAUGACGGUACCUGACUAAGAAGCACCGGCUAAAUACGUGCCAGCAGCAGCGGUAAUACGAAUGGUGCAAGCGUUAUCCGGAUUUACUGGGUGUAAAGGGAGCGCAGGCGGGGCGUUAAGCCUGGUGUGAAAGUCCGCGGCCCAACCGCGGGACUGCAUUGGGAACUGGCGCGCGGGAGUUCCGGAUGGGUAGGCGGAAUUCCUAGUGUAGCGGUGAAAUGCGUAGAUAUUAGGAGGAACACCAGUGGCGAAGGCGGGCUCCUGGACGGUGACUGACGCUGAGGCUCGAAAGCGUGGGGAGCAAACAGGAUUAGAUACCCCAGUAGUC
rnacentral:rRNA from 1 species